GUUAGCUCAGUUGGUUAGAGUGUGGUGCUGAUAAUGCCAAGGUUGCAGGUUUGAACCCCAUAUGAGACA
rnacentral:tRNA from 1 species